UGUAUCUUGUGGAGCGAGAAAAAUGAACAAAGUCCAAACCUUGUUAAAGAGAAAGAACAAAACACAGCUUUAUUUCACAUCUGCACAGAUGGAGAACUCCGAAGAGAUCUAACUAGACAAAGGAAUCACCUCUCUAUAUGUACUGUAUACUGUCCUUCUCCCACAGACAGUGUCACCACCAACAUUCCCAAGGAGCUUAUCAGAUUAAUACACACACAGAGAAAAAUGCAACCUUCAGUUAAAAAUGGGUUUCAGACAGAAUAUUCUGUGUCUAAUAAUAAUCGCUCAGCCAUCGGUCUGGUGUGUCACUCCGCAAGGUAUGACAACUAUUUACUUAUCGCCUGUUGCUAAGCUUCUGACACACUGAGGCAAACUGUGAAGGCCAGAAGAGAAGCAGUGACUCUGUAAGCCUGAGUGAGACAUAAUAAACUGAUUAAUAUUAAAUAAACUUCUAAUAAAAGUAAACACACUGUGAAUAAUUAUUUUUAUUCCACAAUCCUCUUCGUUUCAAAAGUACAUUUCUCUUUUGCUUUUUGAACUCUUGACUUUUUUGUGAUGGUAUUUGUCAGUUUGUAAACUACCAGUUUGAAGCUGUGACUUCAGCAUUCAGUUCAGGGAGUUGGUGACAAUUUAAAGAGAAGAUCAUAGUAAAUCUAUAUUUAAACCUGGCAGCAAAACAUACAUUUAUGUACUAAGUGACCGACAGCGAACUAAUCAAAGGUUAAUCUGAGAGCAGAUUUUUAUGACAGACAAAAUAAAUUCCUGACUUAACUUUUCUUAUGAGAUAGUCAUGUUAUUUUGCAAUUAGUCACAUAUUUUAAGGUCAGCAGCUGAUUUCAUCACAUAUGCUCAUGUAAAAGUGGUGUGGAGUAGAUCAAUCUGCACAUGUUUUUAUGGCUGCAGUGAUUAAAAUAUCAGAUCUGAUGGCUAAUGGAUUUGACAGUACAAGCACACUGCCAGUCUAGUAUCAGUGGGAUUGGGCACCCCAUUGGGAUACAAGUGACAAUGAGAGUGCAGAAUGGAGUCAUGCAGCUAUCGUAUCCUCUACUGUAGCAAGUUGUACCCGUCCCUCAAUAUCCUUUCUAUUAUCACCCAGUCAGGGCUGAUGCUUUUGAAUGAGGGAUAGACCAGGAGAACUAGCUGGACCUUGGAUUUUGAAAGAUUACAACAUAAUGCUUGCAGUCCUUACAAACGUGGUAUUGGUGGACAUGGUUUGUUGAAGAUAUAGGCCAAGCAUUGUUGAAGGUAAAUGCAGCUCAUUGAGACACUUCCUGCUCGUCAAAUUAAACAUGCUUCCUGUUACUGUGUCUCAUUCUCUGUUAUGUCUAGCAUACGUUUCAACAUCUUUGUAGAUUCAGAACAUGUUGAUUAACUCCUCCAGCUUAGACUGAAUAGAAGAAAACCCUCCAAUAUACUACAUGGUAUUUUAUAAAAUGGUCAGCAUAAGUAUGGGAUUAAGACACGUUAACAAGAAAAUCACUUUGAUUUUUCCCAAAUUUCAACAAUGUAAAUCUUUCUCAUUUUUGCCUUUGAACAAAAGAAAUGUACAUUUAUAUUUCUAAUGGGUUAAAUAUUGUCAAGUUUCAAAAAUCUUGGUUAUCAAUUACAUUUUUACAUUUUAAAUUAGGUUUCAGGACAAACGGUACAAGGAUCAAAUUGGCAACCAACACCAAUGUAGUUUUUUUUUUUGGCAGAUUUAAUGGCAUGUGUUUGAGAAAUGAUAGAGACAUGAGACUUUACUCUGACUUGGGGUGAAGCACUGAAGUUGACUUGAACUAACCCCUCGAAGAUUUGACACUUGACUUUGAACAAAUGACUGGUGGUUCAUUGACAAAUUUUAGAUGGGACAUUUGUCCGUAAAACAGAUUUUUAAAUUAAUAGUUUAGAUAAAUUUACACAUACAAGCAUUAGAAGAGGUUAAUAACAGUUGAACACGGGAACGGAAACCCUCCAACUUUGGGGUGCCGCCUGUGACUCAGGCUGUGAGUCAGAGCUUUGGAAGAAGGGCAACAGCAUGUGCUUUUCUCAGCCUCAAAUGUCACGUGUGUGUUAACCCAGAUUUAUAGAUCAGGGUUUUUUCUUUGUUUUUGUAAACAUGGGCUUUCUAAGAGCUAGAAAUGCAAAUAGCAGGUUUCCUGCACUGAAUCUGUCAUGUGUGGGACUAAUGCUGCCACACAUGGAGACAGUGUCGUCCACCCUAACUAUGGCCUCUUGCCUCCUCUCUGUGGCAUCACCCGGCGAACAGUUGUCAUCCCUGACAGGGGUCCCCCCUGACAGAGGGGUCCUCUGUCACUGCCUCACAGAGGAAAAGGGAGUCCGAGUGUGUGCGAGAGACGCAAAAGGAAGGCAGGGUGUGAGGCAGAGAGGGAGGAAAGCUUUUUGAGGUGCUGGAGGAGGGAAUGAGCUUUGCCAUAGAGCUGUGUUUGAGCGCGCGCACUUGUACGUAUCGCACGUCCAUGUGUGAGCGUACAGUAGCUGUGAGUCACGCAGUGUGUGGGGGCUAUGAUGCAUCUGCGACCAGCACGACAAAAUGUGUUUCGCUUGACUUUAUUUCAAGUCUACAACCACAUUCCAUAUGGUGUCGGCUUCGCACAGCAGGAUAUAGGGCUUCGUUCUGUUGUGCUGCAAGAUGAAUGAGAUGCACAGGCUGUACGCUGAAUGAGUGUAGGCCAUCCAUCUAUUUCAGAGCAUAAAUGCAAAUGUUUUCCGAACUUGUUCAAGUCAUGUAAGGCAGGCAGAGUAAAGACAGGUUGAGGGGAAGUUGAAACUUCCAUCUAAGCCUAUUGUUAUUGAGAAUAGUGGUUGAGAAUAUGAGGUUAUUUUGUUAUAUUCCUGUGCGAUUCAGCGACAUACUUUAUAUUUUCCACCAGAAUGAGUCUCUAUGUAUCAUUAGCUAUGCUCUACAGCAAACACAGAAUUGCUUAAUGUAGUUUUGAGUGUUGCUACACCUGAUGUCUAAAUGGUAAACAACUGCCACCAGCUGGUGAGGUUUAAAAUUACACCCUUGUGCUUCAAAAGGCAAGGAUAUUUCUUUCAUGUUUAUAGCAAAAGAAAACCAGAAUUUAAUGAUCCUGGACACACUGAGCUUAAGCACGUUUUAUUCAAUCUUUCAAAAAAAAUAGAGUGUUUUAUUUUGAUUUUAUGAAAGACAGAAAGAAAGGAGCACAUAAUAUCUAAGAGGUAGCCACAAUGGCACGGUUUUCCCACAAAUAAAAAAUCUGAAAUGAGUUUAUUUGGUCAAAUGGGACCAAAAUUGAAGUUGCCAAGAGGAAAAGGUGAAACUAAUGCAAGUUACCAUGGAAACAUUAUUCCCAUUAAGAAUCAUGGAGUCAGCAGCAUCGUGCUGUGGAAAUAUUUUUCCAUCAGUAUUGACUUUUAGUCAAAAAUUUUAAAUGUAUUUUUGUUCUUCCAUUUCCCAAUCAUGUACUACUUUCCUGUUGGUCUAUCAGAAUAAAUUCCAAUAAAAUGCACUGAAAUUAGCUUGAAAACGUUCACAGGAUGACAUGUCUCCACCAUAUCAAGUUCUUGCAGGUACAGCUGUGCAUAAAAGGAACACAUCAGGAUUUAAACAAAGUUUUUUUUUUUUUCUGAACAGUUUUAGCUCUAUAGCCAUUUUUUAUGCAUAUUCUGAAACUUAAUCUCAAACACCCAUCUAGAAUUAUCAUCAUAAUCAUCCAAUAUUUAAAACAAAACUUGCCUCUGAAUUCUUUUCCAUUUUAUUGCCAUAGAAAACUAUUGUGCUGCUAUGUUCCCUUCUAAUUUGAAAAUGUCAUUCAUUAGAAUGACAUAAACAUUUAAAGGGCCAUUCAGGUCGCAAUGAUGAUUUUAUAGAGUCGUUAUUCAGUAAUAUACCGCUACACUUUAAGCAUCUACAGUCAGAGAAUCAGACGUCGGCUUGUCUCGUUACAAACUUGUGUGCAGAUUUAAACCCGUAAAAACAUUUGUCAUUGAGAAGGCAGUUAUUUUGAGUAAAGCAAAAGCUGUCGGCAUGGUAAAGACAUCUAGACAGCCAACAGAAACCCCUACACCACUUGUCUCUGGGGUUAUCGUGUUCCUGCUCCUGCACUGAUUCUCAUCAAAGUAUCUCCGCUGCCUCUGCAGCCAUCUAAUUAUGCCACAGCUGAUCUGAUAUAUAGGACUCCCCCUCUUCCUCUAGAGACCAAACAGAGAAGAACAAAGCUCCCCAUUUUGGGGGGGUGUUUUUCCUCCCUUCAACACUUAAGUCAUCUCCUUGGCUUCCGCUAUCUAAAGCCAGUGCACAGAACAUGUUAAGGAAUCUCAAGCAUGGCUGCUGCAGUCACUGUGUGGCUCUAACGGAAAGUGACAGAGAGCGGGACGGAUAAUCUUCUUGAUGUGCUGCAUUUUUAUGCAGCCUCUGGAGGCAGCAGCCAUUUUUAUCAGUCACUGCAACAAGCCCUUUGGCAGCUUGGGGAUGGCGAGAACACACGGCAUCCAUUCAGUGACAAAGUACCGACUAUCUCUCAGUCCAUUUUUUACAUACAGAUAUAUUGCGAUGGCACAUCCAAGUUCAAAAUUUCUGAGGAGUGCAAGUAUAAAGAACACUGCUGUCAAUGUCAGACUUGAGCAAAGAAAGAGGGUGAGCAUGCAAGAUGACAGGAAAUGGAGAUCUUACAGAAGCGCACAAGUGGAAUAAAUGCCUUUAUUCAAAAGCGCCCAUCAGGAGUGGCUGUGCGUGCAAACGGACUCUUCUUGCUGACAGUGACUGGGAACAUCGGAUUGCCUAACUAGCCAUAGCAAAGACUGGGUCGCAGCGCUGCUGUUGAUCAGGCACGCUGCCACAUUAGAUUGCAUUUACUCAUGUGAUUAUGAUAUUAAAACAGACUUUGCAAUUAAAUCAGCUGCCUGAAAGGCCAAUUAGCUGAAACACAAUUAACAUUUCCAUAACAAUCACAUCUAAUAGUCAUCAGCAGCCAUCAGCUGGGUCAUGCAAAAGACAAUAGCAAUAACGGGUGCCUUUUUUUUUCUUCUACUGCUUCCACAAAUUAAUGUUCUUGUUGCAUUUUGGGGCUGGGGACACACUGUGAUUUUUGUUGCUCUCUGUAUCAGUAAGGAAAUAUUUCAGAGAUCUGAAUGUAAUGGAGAUUUCCCACUUACAAGAUCUUGAUUGAUUUUUGUAUAAGCUAAUGCCAUGUUUUGUUGGCUAUCAGUGCUUUGUAGUAGGUUCUUUUUUGGUUUUAAUUGCUUCAAUACCUUUCAGUAAAAUUUGACUAAUUCUCCACAUUUUUAACAUUUAAACAUUUGCAAAAAUGUUUUGCGCAUGGCUGUCUUAAGAGUUUAAAAAAUAACAUCAGGUCAGCCACUAGACAGUUGAGCUCUGGAGCUGUAAUGUUUUCCACUGGAAGGAGCCAUUUUAGAUUUUGGGUCAGCUUUUCAAUAACCAGUAUGACUCACAGUAGCAUAAACGAUAGCUUUUACUGUUACACCUCCAAUGUCUCGAUAAAUCAGUUGUGCACGCUCUACAACCAACAUUAGUAAAAGUGUAGCUAACACUAGUUAGCCUGCUUACUUAGAUUGUACAAUCUUUGUUAGUCACUGUGAGGCUAUGUUGCGUGUCCUCGUUUUGAUGAUCUGUUGUCAGAAAAAUCUAUAAAUUGUUUAGACAGUUCUAUUUGUUUUAAGCUCGAUACGGCCAUAUUGGUUUUGAAGUUAGACAUCUUAACUAUGACUCUAUGGGCUGUUUACAAUGAUUUUUCUCACUUAAAAUAGUAAAAAGGGACAUUUUUCUUUUUGCAAUACGUGCCACUAUCACUUUCAUGGUUUUUCUUUGUGUGCUAACAGCAACACAUCUCAGACAAAGUUCUUCCAAAUUCAGGUGAGUAAAUAAUGGAAAUGAGGCUAAUCAUCAAUUAACUGAAGGAAUCUUAUCAGCUCUCUUCUCAUUUGAUCCUCAUUUAUCACUCGUGAUUGAACAUUAUUUUCCACCUAUUCACAAUGGGACUCUGACGAACUCGGAAUAACAACAAUGGUCUAUUGAGAUUUAUCACGUCUUCUCUAUCUGCCUGGAUGUUGGAGAGGGACGAUCUAAUCAAAUGAUAAUGUUUAUCUACUGAGGCUGUACAGAUUAGGGAGGAUUUGUAUUAAAUCAAGGUUCUAACUGAUAUAGUCCUGUCAGUAAGUGGUAAACGUAUAUUAAUCAAAUUUAAUAAGGUAAACCUUUAUAAUGUCCAGACAAUGAUACCAUAUUUAGGAGCUGUACACAUUAGUUUGAACAGUAUAAAGAAAAGAACAGACACGUUUGCUAACUAACAAACUUUAAGAGGUUAUGUUUCAUCCUUGUUGGUCAAAGGGUUUCUGUUAUGCCUUAGUGAUAAGAAUGGCUUCAUUAAAUUGGAUUUUACUUAUGAAAGUGAGUUUUUUGUGCCUUUGCCUAAGUGGAAAAAAAUUAUACAAAUCACUUUUUGGACCAAAAGGAGUCGUUUAAAAGAAACGUUAAGAAAUAUGGGUGUGAAGAGAGACGGGGAAAAAAAUGAGCGGAUGGGACAAUCACAACUUCAGAGCCUUUUUGGAAUAAAAACGGUCCGACAACAUCAAAAAUCCUCGACCAUACUUAACUGAGAUGAUGUGCUUUUCCAGGCAAUUUUGCUUGUUUCAUUCAACAUCCAUUUGGAGUUAUUGUCAAAAAACUCUUUCUCAAAGCACAGUUUCAAUUUCAAUCACAGUAAAAUUUUGCAAGUUAAUAUUUGUUUAUGAAUCCAGGACAUAAAAUUACUGGUUUAUUUCAAAAGCAACUAAUUGAUAGUGAAUUUACGCAAUUUACAUACAGUUUCAUUUGUUUUUAACUCCUGAUGAGACAUGAAGAUUUAAGUAACUGGUUCUUGUCUUGUCACCAUUCCUUAACAUGUCUACCUUUAUUGUAUUACAUAUCAUCUUGUGUUUCUUUAUUUCCAUUUGUAUGACUUUCUGAUCAGAAAAUCAUACUAACAAACUAAAGAGGUUUCUGGUCAGAAAGUCAUACAAAUGUUUGGUUUUUUUCCAGUGUCGAUCCACCUUUUAAUGUUUUCUCAUAUUAUUGAAAUGAAAAAAUAAGAUUUCCACACCACGUCUUUAAAGAUUUAGCAAUUACCCCCUUUUUAAACGAAGCCUUUUAUCUUUGUAUUAUGAACCAUUUUUAAAAUCCAAUGUAAAAAAUCAAGUGUUUUGCCUUUAAAGUUUAAAUAUGAGUGAAUUAAUGUACAAAAUCCCAACACCUAUAGUCAUUUCUUGAUGCUCAGGAUUUGACACAAAUUCUCUAAACCUUUGCAGGAAAGCAACAACAAAACAAUUUAAGUGUUCCCAUUUUCCUCUUAUGAUUUAAAGCAGUUUAAAUCAUCCUAUUAGCCCACAUAGUCUAUUGAAAGCUGUGAUAUUUACCUUCAUGUGACAAAAGCUGCAGUUUCACAUAUUUUCUUUCCUGCUUUUUCUAUAAAAUCUGCUCUGUCAAAGGUCUAGCUCAAGCUAACUGAAAUGUGUGUACACAGUGGUCAUACCCAACAUGUCCAAGAGGAUUAGGUUAGCAUUUUUUUUUCACAACAAAACACCAGGAAUAACAAAAGCACUUUUUCUUUUUUUGUUUAAUUUGUCCCCCUAAUAUAUAUUACCACUACCGAAGACACCAUUCACUUAACAUAAAUAAUGACAACUUAUUUAGGAGAGUAACAUAAAUUCAGAGGGUAGGUCUGUAUUUUAAUGUAGAUACCAAUUUUACAGUACAAGACUAAAGUCAAAUUUUCCUUAAGUUACCAAAAAUAUUCUGGAAAAGAAGAAAUGAAUACACAGCAAUAAGACAAAAACACUCAACUGUACACCACCAGCCUGUCCAAAAUCCAUUUUUAAAUAUUAAAUAUCCUCGACCGCUUAGUUAAUGAUGAACAAGAUGUUUUACUGAUAAAUUAAAGAACGUCAGCUAGCAGAAAACACUCUAAAUGUGUAGGAGGGAAUUUGAUGCAAAUUUCAGAGCAGACGGUCAAUAAAGAACACAAUAUUUGUUAGAAUUUCUUCUAAAAGUGGCCUAAUAGAGUAAACAAAUUCAACAAAUGGUGAAAAC